AAUUUUGAAGGGCCGCAGUAUUCUGACUGUGCAAAGGUAGCAUAAUCAUUUGCCUUUUAAUUAAAGGCUCGUAUGAAUGGUUGAACGAAAUACAAACUGUCUCACUCUAAAAAGUUUAAAAAUUUAGCUUUCAAGUCAAAAGGCUUGAAUAAUAUUAGAGGACGAGAAGACCCUAUAGAACUUUAUAAUAUUUUUUGUGAAUUUACAUAGUAAAAUAUUUUUUAUUUAUAAAUAUUAUUAUUUUGUUGGGGUGACAGGAAAAUAAGCAAAACUUUUUUGAAUUUUGAACAUUGAUUUAUGAAUAUUUGAUCCAUUAUUAGUGAUUAUUAGAAUAAGUUACCUUAGGGAUAACAGCGUAAUUUUGUUGGAGAGUUCAAAUCGAUAACAAAGUUUGCGACCUCGAUGUUGAAUUAA
rnacentral:rRNA from 1 species